UACAGAGGGGGCAAGCGUUAUUCGGAAUUAUUGGGCGUAAAGGGCGCGUAGGUGGCCCGGUCAGUCCGUGGUGAAAGCGCGGGGCUCAACCCCGCGUCGGCCAUGGAUACUGCUGGGCUGGAGCACUGUAGAGGCAGGCGGAAUUCCGGGUGUAGCGGUGGAAUGCGUAGAGAUCCGGAAGAACACCGGUGGCGAAGGCGGCCUGCUGGGCAGUUGCUGACACUGGAGGCGCGACAGCGUGGGGAGCAAACAGG
rnacentral:rRNA from 1 species